GGUUCAUUGAUUGCCCCAGCUUAUUCCAACUCCUUUGCCAGCCCAACUAAUACCCACUUUGAGCCAGACCAUUACCAAAUUUCCAGACCAAUCUUCAAAAAGAUCAUUAAUUGACCUGACCCAUCCCCAUUCUUUUCCCAAAAAGAGAACCCAGAAGCGUUAGUUUCCCAAUCUCCCAAAAGUGGGCUCCAACGUUUCUAGUAGUCCUAGAAGAAACGUGUAUGAUAAAAACGAUCUUACCGCACCUCUACAUCGUCCCUUUCAUGCGUCUCUUCACACGAUUCCCAGCAGUAGCUCGCCUUAGAAGCCAUAGCGCGUGAGGCGUCUUCCUCAGCGUCUCCCCUCCAUUUUGUAGAUUGUUGACAGUUGCAGCAGCAAGUCAAGUGAAGUUGUCCUUGAAAGCUUGAAAUUUAGCCAUGUCGCUUGCCAAGGACAAUCGAUUUGAUCUGUUCGUCCUUUCUCCUUUACUAUUUAGGAAUGGAUUCACGCUUUAGAAAAAUAUGGUAUACCUCUAAUCGUGAAAGAAUUCAAAUUAUGAUUUCUCGAUGGGCUUUGAACCCCAAUUGGAUCCGUUUUUCCCUGAUUUUCAAGCCCUAAAUUCCCUCUAUAAAAGAUCUCUUUUCUUCAUCUCAGGGGGCUUGCCGGAAAAAGAUUGGAAAAAAGGGUUGGAUAUUUUUAGUUGGAAAAUUGGAAGGGAUUUUCGAGUUGAGAAUUUCUAAUAGAAAGAUAGGAGAAAAGUUGACGAUUUUCAGUUGGGUUAUUAUUUGGUCUAAAAGACCAAAAAAUCUUUUUAGCAGAAACAUGAGAAUAGCUUUAGAAACGGGUAGUUAUACACUAUACUUUAGAAUAGAGAACUUCUUGGAUUUCUACCUCGUCUCCUUAGUCGUGAGUGUUCGAUGUGUUCGUGGUGAAAGUCAUUACCUCUCUGCUCGUGCUGUUGCUGCCUCGGAGAAAGUUCCAUUGGUGAAGUCAAAUUUGGACUUUGUCAUGAGGUUUUGUCUAAUAGUUAUGCCACAUAUUGUCUCUUAAUGCUAUGAAUUUAUUAUUGGCCGAUGGGUAUGUAUUCUUGAGAAUCAGAUAUCUUUUUUUUCUUAAAUCAAUGCACAUCCAUAUCUAUAUAUUUGUAUAACUUUGUCGUCGAUAGUUUGCUAGUUUGGUCUUCUAGAGGUGUCAUUCUCGGAUUAAUUUAAAUUUCUCAGUGGAUGUCAUUCGUUCUAUUAUUUUGAAUGCUAAUCAUUACCGUCAUAUUUUUGCAUGUGA